AUUGAACGCUGGCGGCAGGCCUAACACAUGCAAGUCGAACGGUAACAGGAAGAAGCUUGCUUCUUUGCUGACGAGUGGCGGACGGGUGAGUAAUGUCUGGGAAACUGCCUGAUGGAGAGGGAUAACUACUGGAAACGGUAGCUAAUACCGCAUAACGUCGCAAGACCAAAGAGGGGGACCUUCGGGCCUCUUGCCAUCGGAUGUGCCCAGAUGGGAUUAGCUAGUAGGUGGGGUAACGGCUCACCUAGGCGACGAUCCCUAGCUGGUCUGAGAGGAUGACCAGCCACACUGGAACUGAGACACGGUCCAGACUCCUACGGGAGGCAGCAGUGGGGAAUAUUGCACAAUGGGCGCAAGCCUGAUGCAGCCAUGCCGCGUGUAUGAAGAAGGCCCUCGGGUUGUAAAGUACUUUCAGCGGGGAGGAAGGGAGUAAAGUUAAUACCUUUGCUCAUUGACGUUACCCGCAGAAGAAGCACCGGCUAACUCCGUG
rnacentral:rRNA from 1 species